rnacentral:rRNA from 1 species
AUGGGGCCUCCUCCUCAAGGUCGCUGCUUCCCCUUCGGGGCCCCCUGGGCAUGGCGAAUUGGAGAGCAGAGCAUGCCCUACAUACGGCGCUCGCUUGACGCCAUGGACGACCGGGAGGGAGGCUGGAAUGGAGGAGCUGGCCUCUUAUUCUCCCUCCGGUUUGACCCCAUGAGGGCGGGCUUCGAUCGUGCUCUGGCCAGCUUCCCUGUUUCUGCGCUGAUUAGCCGCCUUCUUGGAUGGGGCAAGAACAGUGGCCAAGGGAGGCCGCAGGGGGCCGUGAUGGUCGCCGCCGCCGUUGCUCUUUACGCGGCUGCGCUCUUUGUUUCAGAUCAGCAGCCUCGCCGGCGACGCCUGGCUGCUUCUGCUGCAGCUAGGCCAACUUCUGCAACCAGACCUCGUGCUCUGCCUACGCCGGACGAUGGCCUCAGAAUUCUGUCAUCGAAUGAUGAAUAUCUGGAAAACGUGAUCCACCGCGUGUCGAUCGGUGCCGGGGACGAUGAGCCGGUUCUGGUGGCAAGAGUUCAGACCAUGCCACCCGACGUGGCUGGAGCAACCUCUGCAUGGGAAACGGAGCACGAUAGGCUGGAGAAGGAAGAGGUCGAGCGAUUCAAGCAGCUGUGGCUGUCGCUCGUGGAGCGGGAGCAGAGGCUGGAGCUCCGGCUGAUGGACCUCGACGGCCUUAUAGAGCAAGAGGCCACCGUGAAAGAGCUCGAGAACCGCGUCGGCCUCGCCGCCGUGGAGGCGCGGCUCCUGGAGCUCAAGGUCUUGUCGCUGGGUGAGGAGAACGAGAGGCUCAAGGCCCAGGCGGCGGAGCUGGAGGCCGUCCGGGCCCAGCUGGGGCGCGCCAAGGAGAAGCUGCGGGCGCUCAAGGAGCGGGUGCAGGUGGAGCGGGAGGAGUCUCAGAGCGAGGCGACGGCGCUCCGGGACAAGGUGACGGAGCUGGAAAAUACCGGCGAAAAGAGGGAGAGGGUGCUGGCGGCGGAGGCGGCGGAGCUACGGAGGGCCAAGGCCGCGCUGGAGGAGGAGAACAGGGAGCUUGCUCGGAGGUUGCGGGAUGCGGAGCAGGUCUCCUCCGCUGUUAGUUUGGUUCGUGAGGACGACAUGGUUGAUGAGGCAAGCUACCUGAGGGAGGCGAACGAGAGGCUGACGAGGCAGAUCGAGCAGCUACACAGCGACCACUGCGCGCACGUCGAGGAGCUCGUAUACCUCAAGUGGGUCAACGCCUGCCUCCGCCACGACCUCCGUGGCGGCGACCAUCACCCCUCGUCCGCCCAGCAAGAUCAGGACGGGGCUGGCAGCGCCAUGCCGUCGGCCAUGGACCUGAGCAAGAGCAUGAGCUACCGCUCCAGCGAGAAGGCCAAGGAGCUCAUGCUCCAGUAUGGCAGCCUCGGCCUCGACGGCUACGACCCCGUGCUCUUCUCGCCGCUCAACGAGUCGACAUACGGCGAUGGCGAAAGUCACCAGCAGCGCGUUGGAGAUCAGGACGAGCCAGGGCGGAGCCCGGUCGUGCCGUCGCCGGCCGCGGCCGCGGCCGCGCCCGAGCAUCGGGCCGGGCAUGGCAAGCUCAAGUUUCUGAGGAAUAUCAAGAAGCUGCUGGCGAGCAGCAGGAGGAGCCACGGCCACGACCGCAAGAGCAAGAAGGCCGCGCCGGACCACGAGCAUCUGGAGAAGGCGAUGCGGUGGCUGUCCUCCAGCAGCCACGACGCGCUCGGCGCAGACAGCUCGUACGAGAGCACGCCGCUGUCGUCGUGCGACCGGACGCCGCUGAGCAGCGUGACGACCGUGGACUUGCACGCCCGUGCGCGCGCCGGGGGGGCGCCCUCCGCGCCGAGGCUGGAGACGGAGACUAAGCUGGCGAGGUCCAAGAGCGACAAUGGCGCGUCCUUCGGGCGGGAGGCGACCAGGUACCACGCUCUCCGGCCGGACCGCCCGGCCGGUCCCGGGACAGACGGGUUACACUCGCCGGAGAAGAUUAGAAGGUACUCAGACGAGUUGACAAGCUCCUGA